AUUGAACGCUGGCGGCAUGCUUUACACAUGCAAGUCGAACGGUAACAGGCCGCAAGGUGCUGACGAGUGGCGAACGGGUGUGUAAUUCAUCGGAACGUGCCCAGUCGUGGGGGAUAACUACUCUAAAGAGUAGCUAAUACCGCAUACGAUCUAUGGAUGAAAGCGGGGGACCGUAAGGCCUCGCGCGAUCGGAUCGGCCGAUGUCAGAUUAGGUAGUUGGUGGGGUAAAGGCUCACCAAGCCAACGCUCUGUAUCUGGUCUUUGAGGACAACCAGGCAAAGGGGGAAGGAGAAACGGCCAAGAAUCCAAGGGGAGGCAGAAGUGGGGAAUUUGGGACAAAGGGCGAAAGCCUGAACCAGAAAGGCCGCGGGAAGGAAGAAGGCCUGCGGGUUGUAAACUGCUUUUGUACGGAAAGAAAAGGCUCUGGUUAAUACCCGGGGGUAAUGACGGUACCGUAAGAAUAAGCACCGGCUAACUACGC
rnacentral:rRNA from 1 species